GGGGCUGUUCCGUAUGAAACGCUGUGCUCCCACAGGCUCGCACAGACUUCUGCACAACAGCGGUCAGGCCUCAAUGGGUGUCUGAUACAUGACUGGAUCCCAACUCAUUCUGGGGCUGGUAGGGUUGCUUUGUGACAGAUCCAGGCCUUACUCAUUUUGCUCUCCCUCCCUUGGCUUUCCAUGAACUUCCUAACAGUCAUUGUACUUCGCGGUCACUGCUCUAAGAGACAGGUUGUUAACAAACACCAUAACAAAUGGACAUCUGAUUGGUAUGAGGCAUUAUCCUGUACACAUCAUAUGUUUUUGUGUAUCCUCAGUGCAUAGCAUUUACACACAGAGCCACUGCUGCACAGCACAAGAGUAUCUGAAGAGGCUGAAUCAGAGUAAGGCUGUUUAACAGACUGAAAUGUUUAGUAUAUAUAUUCUCUAUGAAAACAGAUUGAACUUUUGAACCGGCAGGGUGGAAGGCAACGCUGCCGGACACUGCGGUUAGAGCCCCCACUUCCGUGCACAGUCCCACCCCUUCCGUCUGCAUGCAUGACACAUUAACAGUAUGUAAAGGUACACGAGGCACUUUGUGGCGACCACAGCCAUCGUUAUGAACAUAUUGCACACAUUUUUCUAGAACUAAACAUGUAACUUGUACCCUACUUUUUAUUUUUUAAAGCUGAAACAUUUGAUGCUGCCGGUAAACUCCACUUAAGUUUAUAACCUGUGCCACAGCAAAGAAUGGGGAUGCUAUUUAUUCAACUGCCCUGUAAUAAUUAUGGCAAAAAAAAAAAAAUGUUCGCAAGGAGCUACGGAGGACUUGGGAUGGCACAGGGCCCAACUGUAAGCUUUCUUAAAAGUGAUGCCUUCAAGUAACUUCAGACAUGUAAGCGGCUGCACAUCCAAAAAGUCUAAGUAAGAAAACAUUCCAGAAACUCAAAGAGAUUACCUACAGAAUGCAUUUCAGGCUAAUUAUGAAUACUGUCAUAAAUAAAGUUUUAAUCAGGACUCAAAAACCUUUCAGUCAUAGCAAUUCUUGUCAAAUUCUAUGGGGAUGGUAACUGAAAUAAAGGAGAGUAGUAUGUAUAAUAUAUAUUUAUAUAUAUAUAAUAUAUAUAUAAUGCCAUUUUUCCAUUUCCAAUGACUACACCAUAAAAUGUAAGCAAGGCUUCUCAAAAACAUUGAAACAUUCAAAAUCAAAACCCUCAUUCAGACCUUCACAUUCCAAAGGAAAAAUAAUAACAGUGCAAAAGCCCAUUAUAAUGUCAUUAUUUAUGACCUGGCCCUCCAUGUUACAUAUUGGAACAACACAAGUUAUGUUUUAAUAUACUGUGCCCAAAACUGUAACAAAUAACAGUAUUAAUAACUAUCAUCAAAACAUGAAUAGUUGAUUUUCAUUUAGGUCAAUAAUUUUCAGCUUUUAUGAAAGUAAGGUGGUAUAUAAAUUUCAAUGCUGAGAUCUUAGGAAUAGUUGUCUCUUUACCAAUUUAACUUAUGAGCAGUCAAUCAAUUCUCUAUAUAUCAAUGUUUAAAUACAAAUGUGUAAAUCCUAAGAGCUGUGUUAAAAAUUUAAAAAUUUUAUUUGUUGAAUGAAACUGAUGAGGUAUGGAAAACAUGUCAAGAUUAUUUACUAAGAAUAUUUUAGAUGAAGUUCUGCCUAAUCUAUUUAACCAUCAAACUCUAUAAAUGCUGCUCUAGUUGGGUCCUAUGCAAUCUGUAUUUGUAAAUUAACUCGGUCAGACCACAGCUAGUGAACAAUUUCAGCACCAAUAAGUUAUUGAAAAUGAGAUUUUACACCAUUAAGAAAUAAACUGGCUGGAUAUUUAAAUGUUUCAAGGUCAAGGUAUAAUUUGAAAGACACCAAAUUUCUGGGGGGAAAAAAACUUUUUAAAUAGUAUCUUCACAUUAGCUUUACAAUAGUAGUUGUACUCUGCUUAGAAUCAUAUGCAGUCUGGGCAUAUCAAAUAUAUGAUAUUUAAGAAGUGAAAUUGAAGCCCUAGUCCUAAGUCUAGCACUAUGAAGAAAUGAUUCAACACUGCACAUUUAAAAAAAAAUCUAUUCUUUCAAUAAAACAUCGAUGAAAGCGUUAUGUGGGACAAUUUCUACUGAAAAAGUAAAGGCCUUAUUAUUUGUGCAGUGCUGAAAAUUUACUGCAACUCUAAUUUCCUUUUUAACACAAAUAAUGUCCUUUUAAAUAUAAACAUUAUAUGUAUUCAGUAUUCAAGUAAAAUUCCCUAACAGUUAAUGACAUUUAAAAAAUGUGCAAAACUGCAAAACUCAUUGUAAUAGAAUGUGUAAGGUCAAAAGGGCGGAACGGCUGACAGCUAUUGGAUUGAAUUAAGUGCAUCAUAAAUCUUUAAAGAAAAAAACGCUUACUGUAGAAUCUCAAAUUGAAAUUUCCUGUGCAGCAUUACAAAAUAUUUUAUAUUCAAUGAGAAAAAAGAAGCUUGCAGGCAGCACGUGAAGCAUCCACAGCAGGUAUAUGAUUGAAAACUCAUAAAGAAGUGUAUGUGGUUGACUGAUGUAGGUUCUAAUAGCAUCUGACUUUUCGCACUGGCCUUGAUUACACACAGGAGAUGGAGAAGGCGUUACAACUGAGAAAAUGUAUUUAAUAGAUCAUUGUCAAUUUUCAUCAUGUUUCAAGCCCAUUCUUUG
ensembl:lncRNA